AGAGUUUGAUCCUGGCUCAGGACGAACGCUGGCGGCGUGCUUAACACAUGCAAGUCGAGGGCGGGGAGCAAUCCCCGACCGGCGAACGGGUGCGUAACACGUGAGCGACCUGCCCGCGUGUGGGGGAUAGCCGGCCCAACGGCCGGGUAAUACCGCAUACGCUUCUUGGGGGGCAUCUCCCGGGAAGGAAAGCCUUCGGGCGCAGGCGGAGGGGCUCGCGGCCUAUCAGCUGGUUGGCGGGGUAAUGGCCCACCAAGGCGACGACGGGUAGCUGGUCUGAGAGGAUGGCCAGCCACAUUGGGACUGAGAGACGGCCCAGACUCCUACGGGAGGCAGCAGUGGGGAAUCUUGCGCAAUGGCCGAAAGGCUGACGCAGCGACGCCGCGUGGGGGAGGAAGGUCUUCGGAUCGUAAACCCCUGUUGCCCGGGACGAAUGCCCCUUUCGAGGGGAGUGACGGUACCGGGUGAGGAAGCACCGGCUAACUCCGUGCCAGCAGCCGCGGUAAUUC
rnacentral:rRNA from 1 species